UUCGUCACACUAUCAUUAACUGAAUCCAUAGGUUAAUGAGGCGAACCGGGGGAACUGAAACAUCUAAGUACCCCGAGGAAAAGAAAUCAACCGAGAUUCCCCCAGUAGCGGCGAGCGAACGGGGAGGAGCCCAGAGCCUGAAUCAGUGUGUGUGUUAGUGGAAGCGUCUGGAAAGGCGCGCGAUACAGGGUGACAGCCCCGUACACAAAAAUGCACAUACUGUGAGCUCGAUGAGUAGGGCGGGACACGUGGUAUCCUGUCUGAAUAUGGGGGGACCAUCCUCCAAGGCUAAAUACUCCUGACUGACCGAUAGUGAACCAGUACCGUGAGGGAAAGGCGAAAAGAACCCCGGCGAGGGGA
rnacentral:rRNA from 1 species